CCAGCCUGUUGAGCACAUCCUGUGUGUAUUCACAGAAAUACAGAGGUGCAAGAGUGAAGGCCAUGGAGGUUUGUCACGAACAUCAAGCUGACUCUCAUGGGAGAAUGAGAGAGAAACUGACACAGCAGUAUUGUCGCCCCACUCAGACUCGGACCUAAAGAAAAACAGCAAGGCUCAAGGGGUACAUGCACAGGUUUGUUACAUGGG